CAUACUUGGCACGCCGUAGUAAGCUAGUCUUUAUGGUGUGCACUGUUGCACGCCGUGAAUUGUAAUUAAAAAAAACUGUUACAAAUCUCUGAAACACGGUAUUUCUCCCAUUUCAUUUUCACCAUCGACUCUGCCUCUCCACGGCUUCCCCCAACAUCUCAGCUCUUACCCUCGUCUCUAUCCUCCUUCCACCGCCGACUAACGGUGCUCAGCUCUCACUAUCGUGUCUCUCUGCCUUCCACC
rnacentral:lncRNA from 1 species